rnacentral:rRNA from 1 species
UGCCAGCCGCCGCGGUAAUACGGAGGGUGCGAACGUUAAUCGGAAUUACUGGGCGUAAAGCGCGCGUAGGCGGUUUAUUAAGUGGGAUGUGAAAGCCCUGGGCUCAACCUGGGAACUGCAUUCCAAACUGACAAACUAGAGUACGAGAGAGGGGGGUAGAAUUCAGAGUGUAGCGGUGAAAUGCGUAGAGAUCUGAAGGAACAUCAGUGGCGAAGGCGACCUCCUGGACUGAUAUUGACGCUGAGGUGCGAAAGCGUGGGGAGCAAACAGGAUUAGAUA